AUCUAAAUGUAGUCUUAAUUAAAUCCUAAUUAAAUUUUAAUCAAAUCCUAAAUCUUAUAUCAAAUUCUAAUAAAAUUGUAAUGAAAUCCGUAACAAACUUUAACCAAAUCCUAAACCAAAUCCUAAACCAAAUUCUAAUGAAAUUCUAAUUAAAUCCUAAUUAAAUCUUAAAUAAAAUUUUAAAUCAAUUUCUAAUCAAAAUCCUAAAUCCUAAUCAAAUCCUAAUAAAACUCAUAUCAAUUUCAAGAAAAUCCUAAGUAAAUCUUAAUCAAUUAUUAUAGUUGUUUUAAAAUCUCAAUAAAUAUUAGUUGAACCAUUGAUCUUAAUUAAAAUUUUACUCACAUCUCAAUCCA
rnacentral:lncRNA from 1 species